AUGGAGCACAGUGCAAUUAUUUUUCAAGUAGAAGAAAGCCUCUCAACAAGGAGGAGCUUGUAUCAAAAAGAAGGACCUAGAAAAGAUAGACGACCAUGGAAAAUUAAUAUAGGGAGUGGAAGUGUUGGUAGAAGACAACGUCAUGCGCCGAGAGUCGCCGUGGCUUCCUGCUUCAACAGUGCUUGGACGGAACCCGGCGCUCGUCUCUCGCCCCGGCUGACCCUACACCACCGCCACCGCCUCUCCGCGCCCUCCGCCCUCCUCGAGGCCGCCGCCGCCGCCGCGCCGCCGUCCCUGCCCGUCCUCAGCCGCCGCCAUGACGACCGCGUCCACCUCGCAGGUGCGCCAGAACUACCACCAGGACUCGGAGGCCGCCAUCAACCGCCAGAUCAACCUGGAACUCUACGCCUCCUACGUCUACCUGUCCAUGUCAUACUACUUUGACCGCGAUGAUGUGGCUUUGAAGAACUUUGCCAAAUACAUUCUUCACCAAUCUCAUGAGGAGAGGGAGCAUGCUGAGAAACUGAUGUAGCUGCAAACCAACGCGGUGGCCGCAUCUUCCUUCAGGACAUCAAGAUACCAGACUGUGAUGACUGAGAGACCGGGCUGACUGCCAUGGAGUGUGCAUUACACUUGGAAAAAAAUGUGAACCAGUCA